rnacentral:miRNA from 1 species
UACAGAUGCAGAUUCUCUGACUUC